rnacentral:rRNA from 1 species
AUGCAAGGCCUACUCCUCUUGGUGCUCCCCUUGGUUCCUCUGGUCGUCCUCGCCGUGAUCCGGCAUGCAGGCCCGAUCAAAACGCGCCUCGCCACCGUCAUGUCGGCCCUAGCACCGAAGCUCCCCGCCGCCUGGAGGAAGCCAGUCUUCGUCAGCGACUGUGCCACGGCGUACCGCCUUCUCGUGCGCGGCAGCGCCGGCGGGUCCUUCUCCAACCGUCCGCCGUCCAUGGCGCCCAGCGCCGUCCUGUCCGCCGGCCGGCACCACAACAUCACCUCGGCGCCCCAUGGCCCAUUCUGGCGCGCCAUCCGCCACAACCUCACCUCCCAACUCUUCCACCCGACGCGCCUCCACCGCUACGCCUUGGCGCGCCGCAAUGCGCUCCGAGGUCUCGUGGCGGACCUCCGCGAGCAGCAGCAGCAGCACGGCGUGGUCCUCGCGGCGGAGAGCAUCCGUGACGCCAUUUUCAACGUGGUCUGCACCAUGUGUUUCGGGGACAGCGUUUACCCAGCCCUGGUACGCGCCAUAGCCGAUGCCCAGGACGACCUCGUCCAGUCGUUGCCUGUGGUGCGCGUCUUCGUCUUCUCGGUGUUCCCGGUGGCGGUGACCAGGCUAAUCUACCGCAAGCAAUGGAACAAGCUGGUCUCAGUACGGCAGAAGCAGGAGGAUAUGUAUCUCCCGCUCAUCGAUGCAUGUCGCCGCCGUCGCCGCUGCUCCGACGAGCCUCCGUGCUACGUCGACACGCUCCUCGACCUCGAGGUCCCGGUCAAAGACGACGACCAUGUGGCCUCUGUAGGUGUAGGCGGCUCUGCGCAGCAGCAGAGGAUCAGCGACGCAGAACUCGUAGGGCUGUGCUCGGAGUUCCUCGGUGCUGGGAGUGAAACCGUAGCCGCGGCAAUCCAGUGGAUCAUGGCGAACCUGGUGAAGCGCCCAGACAUACAGGAGGCUGUCCGUAGAGAGAUCGACGAUUCUGUGGGCGCCGAGGCCGAGGAGGUCGGCGAGGAGGUUCUUGAGAAGCUGGAGUACCUCAACGCCGUCGUCAUGGAGGCUCUUCGGCUACAUCCUACCACAGCUUUGGUGUUUAGGCAAGUGAUGAAAGAAGAUGAUGUCGUUCUUGAUGGCCGACGCAUUGGAGUGGGCACCACGGUGAUCUUUCCACUAGAGGCUCUAGCGCGUGACAAGACGGUGUGGGCUGACCCCGAUGUGUUUAAGCCGGAGAGAUUCCUAGCUUCCGGAGGUGGAGAAACCAUGAACCUCGUGGCAGCGACAGGUAGCGCCGGGAAGAUGAAGAUGAUGCCGUUUGGUGCCGGCAGGAGGAUUUGCCCCGGCAUGGGCAUCGCCAUGCUCCACAUAGGCUACUUCGUGGCAAAUCUCGUGAGGGAGUUCGUGUGGAAGGAGGCAGAGGGUGAACACACCAUUGAUCUUCAGCCACACACCAUCGUGUUGGUCACUGUCAUGAAGCGGCCACUACGAGCUCAUCUUUUGCAAAGGCGACGGGACGCAAAAAAUACAAGUUAA